ACUGCGGUGCCCAGACCGCUUCGGUUGAAGGAAUCCCUGCCUUGGCUUCGCACUAUAUCUCUACAAUUCCUUAAGAGUAUAAGGAGGGCGUCCACCACCCUCACCCUGGUUCCGCCCUCCCCCCGCCGCUCGCCGCUAAUCUCGCCGCGCACGCCCCCUCCCUCGCGUCCACAGCUAGCUUGCCCUCGCCUUCGCUGAAUCCGCCCCUCCCCGCACUCGCGCAUGGAACCACCCAGCCUCCGCCCCCGUCCACCUUGGCCCCGGCACCGUAGGCGGAUCUGUGCCUUUCCUCGCCCGCGUCCACCCCCAUCGCCUCCUCCUACACCUUCUCCGCCAUCGGCAUCAUCGCCUCCGUCCUCGGCCCUCCCUGCACACUGCAACCGCCUCCUGACGAUGCUCGCGUGGGAUGGUGACGGUGACGCGGCGAUCCGUGGCUUGUGCCCCCUCCGCCGCCUCCAGCACCUUCUCUGCCAUCGGCAUCUCCAUCCUUGGCGCGGCAUGGUGAGUCAGCGCACGCCUCCACACCAUGUCUCACUAGAUCUGCCGCUUUGCUAGGUCUUUCCUGCGCAAUGGGUCCUGGGCGGGUGGACACGGUCUCGAUGGUCUCCACCGUGGAGCCGGAGAUGGAAAAGGAGUAAGGCAAGGUGGUGGCGAAAGCGGAGCCUGCGCCCGCCGGACCGAAUCCUCGCCGGAUCGCCCGGCCUGCCGGGGCGACGCUGCGGACGGCCUGAUCCGGCUGGAAUGGCGGCGGGCCGACGAGGGAUCUAGCGGAGGUGGGUGUCGCGCGGCAAUGGCUGCGGCGGAGGCGCGGCGCCGGUCAGCGGUCUGGGCCCUGCUGCCGCUGCUGCUGCGGCUGCUCCACCCGGUCGCGCUCGUGCUGGCCAACACCGAAGGUUGGCCCUACCCUGCUCUUUUUAAGGCUGAAAUGCCCUGGUCAGCCUGAAGAGGAAAUCUCUCAGAGAAACAAAGAGUCUUCAAAAUGGUGAAAGGGUAAUAUAAUGAUUUUACCUUCCUGCUCGGUUAUUUUAGUGCGUUGUUUGCCUUAUAGAGUAAAACUUCCCAGUUCCUUGUUUCUCCAUUAUGUUUUGUUUAAUUUGUCUUAAUUAUGCAGUAUACUGAAAUAACUUACACAGGAGAAAUUUGAGGUAAAGUAUUUUAGAACCGGACAACCUUCAGUUUCAGUAUUCAGAGUUAGACAAUCACACUUUUCCAAAGGUAUCCAAUAUACAAAUGCAUUAGCCUAUGUGCGAGUAAAUGAUCCAGUAUAUAUAGUCAGACACAUGAAAAAAGCCACUUUAAAAAUCAUAAGAUUUAGCCUUAUUAUAAGAUAGUAUGGCUUAUCUGCAUCUUCCAGUAUAAAAAUCAUGUCACUUUAAAUCAUUGCAUUGCAGUUCAUUAUAGGAUACAUUUCAUCUAGAGCCUUAUUAUGGAGACAUGCCACUGCUGAAUGUUUAGCUUCAAGUUGUUCUCUAGAGCCUUAUAUGGAGACUGACUGUUUGGCCUGCAAAACAUUUCUCUGCAGUUUUAACAAUAUAUUUAGCAUUCAUGGUUAGUGUACAAAGUUACUACUAUACACUUGUGAAGUGGAACUUGAUGAUAUCUUCAUUUUUUGACUUUUUGUGCUUUAGGCUCCUCUUCUUGGAUCGACUGCAGCAGUUAGAUCUGCACAUGUAUAUCUUUGUUUAAUUAUCGUCUCCGUAUUGUAAGAUUAAUUUGAGCUUCCAUUCUACUUUUGCUCCACAUAUGAAACAUUAAAAGAUACUCUAAUUAUGCUAUUUAACUCCAAGGGUGGAGGUGGAAUGGGUGAUUAUAACCACCUGCAGGUUGUGUACAUAUCUUUAGUACAUAUCCAUUAUGCUAUUUAACUCCGAAAGGAGACAAUAUGCAUCAGUUUCAACAACUUUGUUGUUUCCUUUUCAUGCUGUCUUAUAGGAUGGCAUUUUCUGCUCAAUUUGUCCGUUGCUGAUUUCAGUCGGGUAAUGUUCUUUCUGCACAAUGACUUUUGCUUGCAAAGUCGAGUUUGGCAUUAUGCUUUGUGUAGAUGUAUCUGAGAAUUGCAUGACUGCAUACCCUUAACAUGAAAUUUCAUUUUUAGAGAUUAGAUUAGAUUAGAUAUGUCGCUGAUGGAAGUCCAACUAAUAGCGAACUGAAGACCGCCGACCUUGUGUCUACACCCGCACAUUCUGUUGCAUCUAUACCUCCUUCUACACCAGCACUUCAUGUUGCUCCUGCACUUUUGUCUACCCCUGUCAGAUGCUCAUCUCCAUUUAUCACGCCACCAUAUUGUUCCUCAGGUAUGCAAGCAAUUUUUAUUUUUGAUCUUUCUCCUUGUUAGCUUGAUUGAUCUUUCUCCAGUAUUUAUUUGUGGGCUUGGUUAAUCUAGGUUCCAUUUAGUUGUUGAAUUAGUUCUAAAAUCAUAGUGGAACCAAAAUAAUGUGUGGAUAUUUGCAAACGAGUUUCUCUUGAAGUCAUGGUGUGAGGAAAAAAGGUAAUGUCCUUCACAUUAUUCUGGUUUAGUAUACCUUGUUGAUUAUUGACAUAUGUUGGUCAUGUUGGUGCUCCACUACCUUGUUCGUAUAUUAAGGCAUGCUACAUUUCUUAACUACGUACCAAUGAUGUGGAUACGAUUUUUGCAGCAAAGCUAUUUUUAUCCUGGUGUUAUCUUAUCUAUUCUCAUGACAGUGAAUUUAGUUUUAUUGUUGACCUCCCACGGUUCUUGACUUCCUAACAUCGGCCACUUUAUUUUUAGUUGAUUGACUGGCAUGAGGGUGGAUACUUGACUGUUGAUUUACCAAUGUCUCGGGGAGAAGUUGUCAUUGGGGGUCCAAAUGUAACUAAAGGCUAUUUCAAGGAUGAAGCUAAAACAAAUGAUGAUUGUGAGCCCAUAUAUGGAGAACAUUAUAAUCAAUACUGAUCCUUUCCAUAAUUACUGUGUUGCGCUUGUGGCAGCUGCACAAAUUGAGCUGUAAAGCUAGGCUUCCCAACAAGGAGUUAAAACAACAAUUCCUCAAAUUUGUGCUAGAAGCAAGAGGCUGUUAAAGAAGUGCUCUUUAGCAAAGGUUUCGUCAUUCUUGCCUACCGCUGUCCCUUUGCUUCAGAAUACGGUGAAACAGAAGUCCUUCAUUGGCUCUUCUCAUCUUGGCUCACAUGCAGUACUUGAAUACCAGUUUCUUCCUGAGCAGCCAAGUGAUGCAUAUGAGAGGGGAAGCCAGUUGCGCUUCUAUGAUGCUCUAGCAGAAGUGUUAAACUCAAGGGUAGAUUCGUUUUCUAUAGGAUCACACUUUACCCAUGUAGUUGAGCAGGCACCUAGCUAUACAUUUCACAGUCAAUCAUCUGGUUCUAGCUGUUUGUCAAAUAUUAUUGCUAGCAUGGCUCAAAUCCAAAUAUUAUUGCUAGCAUGGCUCAAAUCCACGGUCAAAAAUUGGCAUCCCUCAAGUUGUCAGAUUUGAAAGCUCCCUCGCAUCCCCUAAAAGAUUGGGUUAUCAUGAUGAAGAACAUGUCACGUGGACAGAAAAACACAAGAACUAUAUUUAUGGAUAUACUAUUUUUUUCUUCUUUUGUAUUAUUAUAUUCAUAUCCUUUUUUACCUUUAUAUUAUUAUUUUUUAUAUAUGUUGUAUUUGUCUAAUAUUACUUCAUCAUAAUGAG